rnacentral:rRNA from 1 species
UACGGAGGGUGCAAGCGUUAUCCGGAUUUACUGGGUUUAAAGGGUGCGUAGGUGGACAGGAAAGUCGGUGGUGAAAUCUUCGAGCUUAACUCGGAAACUGCCAUUGAUACUAUUUGUCUUGAAUACUUUGGAGGUAAGCGGAAUAUGUCAUGUAGCGGUGAAAUGCUUAGAUAUGACAUAGAACACCAAUUGCGAAGGCAGCUUACUACACAGUUAUUGACGCUGAUGCACGAAAGUGCGGGGAUCAAACAGG